CAAGUCGAACGCGAAAGUUCCCUUCGGGGAGCAAGUAGAGUGGCGCACGGGUGAGUAACACGUAGGUAAUCUACCUUUGGAUUGGGAAUAACACCGAGAAAUCGGUGCUAAUACCGAAUAAUGCAGCGGCACCUAAUGGUGACAGUUGUUAAAGCGGGGGAUCGCAAGACCUCGCGUCUAAAGAGGAGCCUGCGGCGGAUUAGCUAGUUGGUAAGGUAACGGCUUACCAAGGCGAUGAUCCGUAGCCGGCCUGAGAGGGCGGUCGGCCACACUGACACUGACAUACGGGUCAGACUCCUACGGGAGGCAGCAGUCGGGAAUUUUGGGCAAUGGGCGAAAGCCUGACCCAGCAACGCCGCGUGAAGGAUGAAAUCCCUCGGGAUGUAAACUUCGCAAGAACAGGAAGAAUAAGUCGGUGCUAACACCAUCGGCGAUGACGGUACUGUUUGUAAGCUCCGGCUAACUCCGUGCCAGCAGCCGCGGUAAUACGGGGGGAGCAAGCGUUGUUCGGAUUUACUGGGCGUAAAGGGCGCGUAGGCGGCCACCGCAAGUCGACUGUGAAAUCUCCGGGCUUAACUCGGAAAGGUCAGCCGAUACUGCGGGGCUAGAGUGCAGAAGGGGCAACUGGAAUUCUCGGUGUAGCGGUGAAAUGCGUAGAUAUCGAGAGGAACACCUGCGGCGAAGGCGGGUUGCUGGGCUGACACUGACGCUGAUUGUGCGAAAGCUAGGGGAGCGAACGGGAUUAGAUACCCCGGUAGUCCUAGCCUUAAACGAUGAAUGCUUGGUGUCUGGGGUUUUAUAGUCCCCGGGUGCCGUCGCUAACGCUUUAAGCAUUCCGCCUGGGGAGUAC
rnacentral:rRNA from 1 species